AUUGAACGCUGGCGGCAGGCCUAACACAUGCAAGUCGAGCGGAGCGGCGGACGGGGGAGUAAUGCCUAGGAAUCUGCCUGGUAGUGGGGGAUAACGUACGGAAACGGGCGCUAAUACCGCAUACUAUCAGAUGAGCCUAGGUCGGAUUAGCGAGUUGGUGGGGUAAAGGCCUACGAAGGCGACGAUCCGUAACUGGUCUGAGAGGAUGAUCAGUCACACGGUAACUGAGACACGGUCCAUAUGCCGACGGUAGGCCGCAGUGGGGAAUAUUGGGCUAUGGGCGAAAUCCUGAUCCAGCCAUGCCGCGUGUUUGAAGAAGGUCUUCGGAUUGUAAAGCACUUUAAGUUGGGAGACGUUACCAACAGAAUAAGCACCGGCUAACUUCGUGCCAGCAGCCGCGGUAAUAC
rnacentral:rRNA from 1 species